rnacentral:rRNA from 1 species
AUUGAACGCUGGCGGCAGGCCUAACACAUGCAAGUCGAACGGUAACAGGAAGAAGCUUGCUUCUUUGCUGACGAGUGGCGGACGGGUGAGUAAUGUCUGGGAAACUGCCUGAUGGAGGGGGAUAACUACUGGAAACGGUAGCUAAUACCGCAUAACGUCGCAAGACCAAAGAUGGGGACCUUCGGGCCUCUUUCCAUCGGAUGUGCCCAGAUGGGAUUAGCUAGUAGGUGGGGUAACGGCUCACCUAGGCGACGAUCCCUAGCUGGUCUGAGAGGAUGACCAGCCACACUGGAACUGAGACACGGUCCAGACUCCUACGGGAGGCAGCAGUAGGGAAUAUUGCACAAUGGGCGAAAGCCUGAUGGAGCCAUGCCGCGUGUAUGAAGAAGGCCUUCGGGUUGUAAAGUACUUUCAGCGGGGAGGAAGGGAGUAAAGUUAAUACCUUUGCUCAUUGACGUUACCCGCAGAAGAAGCCCCGGCUAACUCCGUG